AGAUCCUCGGCUCCCUGGAGGCUGAUCUCUGUGCCAAGCAAGUGCCCUGGGCACCAGGUGGGCCUCAAUAAAGGUUGGCUGAGGGCUGGAGAGGUAAAGCAGAGGUGGCCCAGCCCCAUCCUGCUUCGGUUCUGGGAGCAUCUGGGCCCUGAUUUCCCCGAAUGGAGCUGGCUGGGCCAGCCGUGCAGAGACAGUGGGAAGCGGCAGUGCAGCUCCACAGCCCUCCUCUGCCAAGCGUUGAUCAGUUUAUCCUCCCUGCAUCCUCCCUGGCAUCAACAGAGAAGAUUCUGGGGCCUCCCCUCCACA